rnacentral:misc_RNA from 1 species
GGAAAUUGCUCCAACAUAAUCUAGGCCCCGAAGUGGUCGGUGCACUAAAAGAUCUCAAGAAAAAGCUGACAGAAGAGGAGUCUUCGUAGCGGAAGGUACGGUGGACAACAAAAAAUGUUUUACCAAAGUUGGGAUGAUUUUUCAAUCGUGUCGCAGGAAUUUGAACUUCUACCUUAGUUGAUUAACCAAUCUGCAAAAGAA